ensembl:lncRNA
CUACAUUUCCUCAUUGGCCUGAGGUCCAAAAAGAUGAAGAGAGACAAGCCUCAGAGCACAAGCAGCUGAAAAGUCUGGAGGCAAAGAGAGCUUAGGAAAUUGCCAAAGGUCUUUCAGCUUUCACUCGACAGUGCCAGCUUUUGACAGAGGGCAUCUGGCUCCAGAACCCAUGCCCUGUCCACAGUGGUCACUGCUAUUCCUGGAGGGCCAUUCUGCUCUGGGGUUGGCUGCCAAGCAGACCUCUCCCCACCCUGUCAUCACUGUGCUUCACUUCUGAGGCUCCCACGUCAGCUUUGGAAAGGGCCUCCCUGCUCUUGCCAUGAACCCUGGGGUAGCCUUUCCUUGAAUUCAAGAAUCUCCCAGCUGAAGGAUCUUCAGAAGGGCACUAGCUUCCUCUUCACCUGGGCCACGUCUGGCUGAUACAGUGUCAUCUGGGACCUGUCAGGAAUGAGCAUUCUGCCCGGAAACCCAAGCAAACACAUACAAUCUGGAGAGAAGAGGAUGUGCCAGGAAGUCAAGAGGAGAGACAAGGCUGAGUGAAAGUGGCUGACUGUGGUACAGGCUUCAAGUCUUGACCUUGUGGGAAGUCGUGGACUCUGCUCACAGGUGUGAGGGCUACAGGUGCAGUGCUCUCUGGAAACUAAAUUCUACCAAGAACCACAGGAGCCCGGAGAGUGGAGAGGACCCCUGCUCCAGGAACAGAUGCAGCACAGCAGGCAGAUAUGG